GACGAACCACACGAACGUUAUUCGGAAUUACUGGGCUUAAAGGGUGCGUAGGCUGCGCGGAAAGUUGGGUGUGAAAUCCCUCGGCUCAACCGAGGAACUGCGCCCAAAACUACCGUGCUCGAGGAAGAUAGAGGUGAGCGGAACUUACGGUGGAGCGGUGAAAUGCGUUGAUAUCGUAAGGAACACCCGUGGCGAAAGCGGCUCACUGGGUCUUUUCUGACGCUGAUGCACGAAAGCUAGGGGAGCAAACGGG
rnacentral:rRNA from 1 species